rnacentral:lncRNA from 1 species
GAGGGGUCCUGAGGGGGGGACCCCGCUGCUGGAACGGUGAAAUUCGGGGGUCCCGCUGCUCCGGGGGGGGGUCCCGGUGCUGGAGGGCGGCGAAAUUCGGUGAAAUUCGGGGAAUUUUGGUGAAAUUUGGGGUUUCCGGUGCUCGAGGAAGGUGAAAUUCGGGGGUCCCGGUGCUCGAGGAUGGUGAAUUCCGGUGAAUUCCGGUGAAUUCCGGUGAAUUUCGGUGAAAUUUGGGGUUUCCGUGCUCGAGGAUGGUGAAUUCUGGUGAAUUUCGGUGAAUUCCGGUGAAUUUCGGUGAAAUUUGGGGUUUCCGUGCUCGAGGAUGGUGAAUUUUGGGGGUCCCGGUGCAAGAACCAGGUGAAAUUCGGGGGUCCCGGCGCUCGUGGACGGUGAAAUUCUGGUGAAAUUUUGUGAAUUUUGGGGGUUCCGGUGCUCAAAUGGUGAAAUUCGGGGGUUCCGGCGCUCGAGGACGGUGAAAUUUUGGUGGAUUUUGGUGAAAUUUGGGGGUUCCGGCGCUCGAGGAUGGUGAAAUUUCCUGAAAUUUUGUGAAUUUUGGGGUUUCCGGUGCUCAAAUGGUGAAAUUCGGGGGUCCCGGUGCUCGAGGAUGGCGAAUUUUGGUGAAUUUCGGUGGAUUUUGGUGAAAUUCGGGGGUCCCGGCGCUCGAGGACAACGAAAUUUGGGGUUCCCGGUGCUCAAAUGGUGAAAUUCGGGGGUUCCGGUGCUCGAGGACGGUGAAAUUUGGUGGAUUUUGGUGAAUUUUGGGGUUUCCGGUGCAAGAACAGUGAAUUUUGGGGGUUCUGGUGCGCGAGGACGGUGAAAUUUGGUGGAUUUUGGUGAAAUUUGGGGGUCCCGGCGGGUCCUGGUGGCUCAAGGACCCCCCCGAACCCCCCAAUUUCCCUUGCACGAGGUCCCGGCGGCUCUCGGGGGGCUCCUGGCGAGGACCCCAAAAUCCCCACGGGGACCCCAAAAUCCUGACACGGGGGACCCCCAAAACCAUCACGGGGACCCCAAAAAUCCUCACGGGGACCCCCAAAACCCUCACGGGGAACCCCAAAAUCCUCACGGGGGACCCCAAAUCCUCGCCCGGGCCCCCCU